rnacentral:rRNA from 1 species
UUCCUCGGAAUGUAAACUUCACAAGAAUGGGAAGAAUAAGUCUGGGCUAAUAUCCCUGACGAUGACGGUACCAUUUGUAAGCUCCGGCUAACUCCGUGCCAGCAGCCGCGGUAAUACGGGGGGAGCAAGCGUUGUUCGGAUUUACUGGGCGUAAAGGGCGCGCAGGCGGCGCAACAAGUCACUUGUGAAAUCUCCGGGCUUAACUCGGAGCGGCCAAGUGAUACUGUCGUGCUAGAGUGCGGAAGGGGCUACUGGAAUUCUCGGUGUAGCGGUGAAAUGCGUAGAUAUCGAGAGGAACACCUGCGGCGAAGGCGGGUAGCUGGGCCGACACUGACGCUGAGGCGCGAAAGCUAGGGGAGCGAACGGGAUUAGAUACCCCGGUAGUCCUAGCCUUAAACGAUGGAUGCUUGGUGUCCGGGGUUACAAAGUCCCCGGGUGCCGUCGCUAACGCCUUAAGCAUCCCGCCUGGGGAGUACGGUCGCAAGACUGAAACUCAAAGGAAUUGACGGGGACCCGCACAAGCGGUGGAGCAUGUGGUUUAAUUCGACGCAACGCGAAGAACCUUACCUGGGCUAGAAUGCCUCUGACAACCCUAGAGAUAGGGCCUUCUGGGUAAAACCAGACAGAGUGCAAGGUGCUGCAUGGCUGUCCAGCUCGUCGGAGAUUG